UGGGGAAUAUUGGACAAUGGGCGAAAGCCUGAUCCAGCCAUGCCGCGUGUGUGAAGAAGGCCUUAUGGUUGUAAAGCACUUUAAGCGAGGAGGAGGCUACUUUAGUUAAUACCUAGAGAUAGUGGACGUUACUCGCAGAAUAAGCACCGGCUAACUCUGUGCCAG
rnacentral:rRNA from 1 species